UGGGGAAUAUUGGACAAUGGGCGCAAGCCUGAUCCAGCCAUGCCGCGUGAGUGAUGAAGGCCUUAGGGUUGUAAAGCUCUUUCACCGGAGAAGAUAAUGACGGUAUCCGGAGAAGAAGCCCCGGCUAACUUCGUGCCAGCAGCCGCGGUAAGACGAAGGGGGCAAGCGUUGUUCGGAAUUACUGGGCGUAAAGGGCGCGUAGGCGGUCUGUUUAGUCAGGCGUGAAAGCCCCGGGCUUAACCUGGGAUGUGCGCUUGAUACUGGCAGGCUUGAGUGUGGGAGAGGAUGGUGGAAUUCCCAGUGUAGAGGUGAAAUUCGUAGAUAUUGGGAAGAACACCGGUGGCGAAGGCGGCCAUCUGGACCACAACUGACGCUGAGGCGCGAAAGCGUGGGGAGCAAA
rnacentral:rRNA from 1 species